GGCUACGUAGCUCAGUUGGUUAGAGCACAGCACUCAUAAUGCUGGGGUCGGUAGUUCAAAUCUACCCGUAGCUACCA
rnacentral:tRNA from 1 species